CACACAUCUAAGUCGUCUCUUGCUCUUCCCUUUGAUGAUCAUCGUUUCUGAUUUCUACAAUUCAUAGUUUCUCUGUAUUUAUCACCAUCAACUCACACUCAUUCAAUUAAGAUAUUUUCUCCAAUCUAGAUGAGAAAGCUAUCCUUUCACUUCCCUUUGUUCUCCUCUUAUAUAAACCCAUUCAUUGAAGCUCACAUUCAAUCAUAUUCGACAACCUCUGUUCAGCGAUAUCAAUCCAUGGCGAUGAAAUCGGUUCAAAACUCUGGCAAGUCUCAAGAGAAAACGAAGCCCUGAACGAAAUCAGAGAAAGAAGAUCAGACUAUGAAUCUGAGAAUAUGAAAGAUGACGAAAACAUGUUGAAUGUUGUCACCUAAAGAAAAGAUACAAGAGACUUGAGGAACACUUGAUUUUCUCCUACACAAUUAGUUCCUUAAUUUUUUUUUUCUUCACCAGCUGUACUGCGGUCUAACCUUUGAUAUGUCCCUCUAAUAUUAGACUGAGAGGCACCAGCUAGAUGAUCAAUGAACUUCUCCUAGUUUGCCUGUUUUUACAAUUUUGUUUUCUUAAUGUGCGGUGAGAAUGGACAUAAGAGUAUCAGUAAGAUCUUUGUUCUUUUUAAUAAUUAUUUUGGUUAUCCUCCUCAAAAAUAUGUUCCAUUACGAGUCGUAAAUUUACGACAAUAGAAAUAAUGCCAAAGCUCCAUUUAUUGUUGUACAGUUGUAGGUAAAGCAUCAAGUUUUGGCUUUAAUACGUUGUGUACAUGGGAAUCUAGAAGGAUAUGAUUCUGAAGGUAUUCCUUAGAUUUCACCAAAACAAAUAUGUUCAUACCUGUGUUUGUGUUUUCGUUCAUCUUAUUGUUUGUGUUUCACCUCCAGUGCUUGCCAUGUCCUCAUAGAUGACUUUGUUGAGCGUACAGGUUUGGAACCAAAUAUAGAGCUUUCUUUCUCAACACAUUUUACAAUAGAAACCCCUGUCCUUUUGUUAUUGAUUUACAGCAUUUUAGGACCGAAUAAGAACAUUGCCCCUUAACUGUGGUGAUAAAUAGGCUGAAUCAUGCCUUUAUGAAGAACCUCUUCCUGGUUUCUUUGGUUUUUAUACUCUUGAGAAGUUUUCAAACUCUUUGCAUAGUCUUAUUAAUAUUUUUUGCUGUUAGAUGAACAGCACAAAGAUUAUCGUCGCUGCCACACGGGAUUAAGAAGUGUUCCAGACUUAAAGAGAAUAAAAAUCUAAAGACAAUGAAGAAAAAGUAUCAGAAACUCGAUACUCUUAUUCGCCCCCAAACUUGAAACAAAUCGGAUCCGACAAGAGCCCAAGAUAUUCAUUCAUGUUACAUUGUGGGAUCGAGUUUUCUCACAAGGGUUUGCGAAUCAUUAUAAUAUGAUGAGUACGCAAGGAUAGAAACCGCUCCACACCCGCAGAAAACUAAGGUCAGGCCUCAACCUCAAGAGUUAGCAACGCAAAGAAGGAAGGAUAUCAUUUACCAAAAAAAGAAGGAUAUCAAACCAGAGAUUUGAAGAAAAAGGCUGCAGACGGCGGAAAGACUAAGAAAUAAGAUUUAUUAUUCAUUAUUCAAUUGUAACUUUUUUAUGGAGUCGUUAGAUAAUGCACUAAUAUCAACCAUUUGAUGACAUAUCUUUCAUCCCGAUUAAAACCAUCUUCUAUUGA